AUAAGCGGAGGAAAAGAAACUAACAAGGAUUCCCCUAGUAACUGCGAGUGAAGCGGGAAAAGCUCCAAAUUUAAAAUCUGGCGGUCCUUGCGGCCGUCCGAGUUGUAAUCUGGAGAAGUGCUUUCCGCGCUGGACCGUGUACAAGUCUCUUGGAACAGAGCGUCGUAGAGGGUGAGAAUCCCGUCUUUGACACGGACUACCAGUGCUUUGUGAUGCGCUCUCAAAGAGUCGAGUUGUUUGGGAAUGCAGCUCAAAAUGGGUGGUAAAUUCCAUCUAAAGCUAAAUAUUGGCGAGAGACCGAUAGCGAACAAGUACCGUGAGGGAAAGAUGAAAAGAACUUUGGAAAGAGAGUUAAACAGUACGUGAAAUUGCUGAAAGGGAAACGCUUGAAGUCAGUCGCGUUGGCCGGGACUCAGCCUUGCUUCCGCUUGGUUUAUUUUCUGGUCGACGGGUCAGCAUCAGUUUUGAUCGUCGGACAAUGGCUGGGGGAAUGUGGCAUCUUCGGAUGUGUUAUAGCCCUCGGUCGCAUACGAUGGUUGGGACUGAGGAUCUCAGCACACCUUUAUGGUCGGGGUUCGCCCACGUUUGUGCUUAGGAUGCUGGCAUAAUGGCUUUAAACGACCCGUCUUGAAACACGGACCAAGGAGUCUAACAUGCAUGCGAGUGUUUGGGUGGAAAACCCGAGCGCGUAAUGAAAGUGAAAGUUGAGACCUCUGUCGUGGAGGGCAUCGACGCCCGGACCAGACCUUCUGUGACGGCCCUGCGGUAGAGCAUGUAUGUUGGGACCCGAAAGAUGGUGAACUAUGCCUGAAUAGGGUGAAGCCAGAGGAAACUCUGGUGGAGGCUCGUAGCGAUUCUGACGUGCAAAUCGAUCGUCAAAUUUGGGUAUAGGGGCGAAAGACUAAUCGAACCAUCUAGUAGCUGGUUC
rnacentral:rRNA from 1 species